UACGUAGGGGGCAAGCGUUGUCCGGAAUCAUUGGGCGUAAAGAGCGUGUAGGCGGCUCGAUAAGUCUGUUCUGAAAGUCCAGGGCUCAACCCUGGGAUGCGGAUGGAUACUGUCGAGCUCGAGUCCGGAAGAGGCGAGUGGAAUUCCUGGUGUAGCGGUGAAAUGCGCAGAUAUCAGGAGGAACACCAAUGCGAAGGCGACUCUCUGGGCUGUAACUGACGCUGAGGCGCGAAAAGCGUGGGGAGCAAACAGG
rnacentral:rRNA from 1 species